rnacentral:lncRNA from 1 species
UAAAUCCUGCUGAGGUAUAUACAACUCUACAAGCUGGUUCUCAAAUCCUUUUUUUGGAACGAGACUGAAGGAUUUCUGCAUAAAUAAUCAUAGUGGAAUUUUCAAGAUAUUUCAACGGUCUGUGGUGGCCAAAUAUGUGGAAUUGAGGCUGUUCCAGUAAAUCUGGAAUGAAUUGACACUCUAUCCACAGAGUAUGAAACUGUGUGUAGAGUAUGCAUGUGCGCGCGCGUGCACACACACACACAUACACACACACACACACACACAGGAAGAAUUCUUUUCUUGUCCAGACACUGGCAUUGGCAGUGAAACCAUCCAUUCCAAACCAAAGGAGCCCCCUCACCAAUGGCCUUGCCGCCCAGGAACCCUGCAGGGCAGAAGUUGGGGAGGGGAUAGCAGUCUGAAUAGCGGUCUUGGAUGGCUGGAAGCUGGCACCUGUGAACAAGCACCCAUGAUGGUGAUGCAUCCGGAACCAGGCUGCCCAGCCAACCAGUGCUUUCCCACCGGAGCUUUUGCUCUGGGCUCCUCUGCCGUUGAUUUCCCAGGUCCCGCCUUGCAUUUUCUCCCUCAUCUUCACAUGUGGGGAGCCCCUGACCGGCUGCUGAAGACCCCCAGACAAGCCUUCAGCUUCCAGAUCAUGGAAGGCAGCAUGGGGAGGCAGGAGACCCCUGGGAGGGCGGAGCAUGACUUUUGUCCAGGAGGCUGGACUACCGACUUCAGCAGGCUCUGGUUGGCUCUGGAGGACAUCCCUCAAGAAGUGCUGGCAGAUGUUAGAUUCCCGCCACCUGGAGGCCUGACCUCACCUGAGGGCAUCCCUGCCUGUCCAUGUCUUUUGACUGGGUGGGCAGCCCUGCCUACCUCUCUGCAGCUUCAAACACCAGCCGCUUCCACUCAGAGACACUCAAAAUGUGUCGAGGGAGGUUGUCCUCUGGACUCCUGGGAAUUGACCACCAGCAUGCGCUGCUCCGCUGACAAGGGAAAGGGCCCUCUGGCCCGCACAGCAUGGAUAUGGGCAGAACGGUUUUUCCUAACUAGGCCUUCUGGGUUGCAGCAGAACAGCAUGUGUCUGCUUCUCAAAUGUAACAGGACAAGAUGUUCAGGUCUUGUGUCCUCUGUGAAGCAGGGCUGCAAGGACCCCUUACCAAGGAGAAGAUUGUCUCUGGAAACUGCGAAAUCUGACCAGAAGGCCCUUAGCCUCCCAGGCUCUGUAGCUUCUGCAGUGAUGAGGCCUGGCCACCAGAUGGCUCCACAGAGGCCACUGCUCUCUCAGGGAAGAGGAGGCUGGGAAGAUCCAGGGGAGGACAUGGAAUUGGAUUCUCACCUGGGGAAGCUGUGGGAGUAA